rnacentral:rRNA from 1 species
AUAUUGCACAAUGGGCGAAAGCCUGAUGCAGCGACGCCGCGUGAGGGAUGACGGCNUUNNGGUUGNANACCUCUUUCAGUAGGNNNNNAGCCUUUCGGGAUGACGGUACCUGCAGAAGAAGCGCCGGCUAACUACGUGCCAGCAGCCGCGGUAAUACGUAGGGCGCAAGCGUUGUCCGGAAUUAUUGGGCGUAAAGAGCUCGUAGGCGGCUUGUCGCGUCUGCUGUGAAAACGCAAGGCUUAACCUUGCGCCUGCAGUGGGUACGGGCAGGCUAGAGUGCGGUAGGGGAGACUGGAAUUCCUGGUGUAGCGGUGGAAUGCGCAGAUAUCAGGAGGAACACCGGUGGCGAAGGCGGGUCUCUGGGCCGUUACUGACGCUGAGGAGCGAAAGCAUGGGGAGCGAACAG